CAACGCCUACGGGACGCAGCAGUGAGGAAUAUUGGUCAAUGGUCGGGAGACUGAACCAGCCAAGCCGCGUGAGGGAUGAAGGUACAGAGUAUCGUAAACCUCUUUUGUCAGGGAACAAAGGCGGGGACGUGUCCCCGGAUGAGUGUACCUGAAGAAAAAGCAUCGGCUAACUCCGUGCCAGCAGCCGCGGUAAUACGGAGGAUGCGAGCGUUAUCCGGAUUUAUUGGGUUUAAAGGGUGCGCAGGCGGUCUGUUAAGUAAGCGGUCAAAGCCUGGGGCUCAA
rnacentral:rRNA from 1 species